UUAUAUCAAAUUAGAGUCAAAUCCAACUUACCCUGUCCGCCACGGAGUUGAGUACCGGUAUUCAAAUUGAAGUACUGGUAUUGAAAUACCCCCAGAAUUUUAGUAACGAUACUCAAAAUUGCACAUUGGUAUUCAAUACAAAAGGCAAUUUUUCACCGCUUCGGAUUCUAAGGUACUUCUCAGUACCAGUACUCAAAUUUCAAUUUUCGGCACUUACAAUCCAAAAAUCUCAAAUUUUUUAUUUUUACUAGGAUAUCGACUCGAAACAUGACUUCAUAUAAUCCAACAUUAUUUAUAGUUCUAGAUUUAAAAAGAAAAAUGUAAAGAAAGUAAAAUUUGUUAGUUUAUAAAUUUGUUUAUUAGUUUAUUUUUAUUUGUUUUUGUUGAAAAGUUGUGUACCUUAUGAAAGGGUAUGUCCUUUUGUAAGGUUGUGUCUUUUGGCUUAGAGUCAUGUCCUCCUUUAGUAAAGGAAUGUCUACUUUCGUNAAGAUCCGAUCAAAGAAGACGACGAUAGUGAUGCAUAAACAAGCUUAAGAGGGAAUGUUAGUUUAUAAAUUUGUUUAUUAGUUUAUUUUUAUUUGUUUUUGUUGAAAAGUUGUGUACCUUAUGAAAGGGUAUGUCCUUUUGUAAGGUUGUGUCUUUUGGCUUAGAGUCAUGUCCUCCUUUAGUAAAGGAAUGUCUACUUUCGUGAAGAGUUGCGUCGUUUCAUACUCUAUAAAUAGAGGGCAUGUAAUUUGUUGUUGUGGGUGGAUCAAAUUGUAUUAUUCAGUUGUAGUGUACUGAAGUUUAGUUAUAUUUAAUAAAGUUUGUUAUUCUAGUGUUAAAUAUUUUUUGUAAUUCAUUUAUAUAUUAG
rnacentral:lncRNA from 1 species